CUGCUACUGAGAUUGAUGACUACGUUAUAUGCCAUCUUAGAGCCUUCAUCCAGAAGCUGGUGGAAGUAGAAGCAGAUACCAACAGCUCAACAGUGAACUGAACUGGAAUCCAGUUGCAGAGGAGAAGGAGUGAUGACCAAAGAGGUCAAGACCAGCCAAUGAAGACCUGACUGACAACAAUCCCUGGACACCCUAGAAAGAAAAUGGGCCACACCUCCUCGACUGCACUGGAUCCAACUUGCUCCAUUUCAAUGGACACUCCGGCCAGAGGUUCGGGUACUGACUUCAAUCAAGUUGAGGAUUUCAAGCAAGAUCUUCAAUCAAGUGAAUCCCAUCUAACAUGGACUGGAUACAAUUCAUUCAAGACUUUCACUAUACUAACAUUUUCUUCCUACAGGACCUCACGUGACUAUCAUCGUCCCAUUUCAGCAGGAAGUAACUUGGAGGAUACUACGUGCCCUUUCCCCAUUGUUGUCACUUAGGAGAGUGUAUAUAACUAGUUAGGGAUAGCUUCCUAUUGUUUACUGUUGGGAUUGGAAGGAGGUGUUCAGGCUUGGAUACCUCUCUCAGAUGACUUUAGGGUUUAGUUAACAUAGAUAGUUAGGAUGUGACAUAAGCAGAUGUAAGGAGCCGUUACAAGCUAGUGCGCAUGUGCACUAGGUAACUUUGUAACUUUCCAGCCCUUGGUCUCCGCCCCUCCCGUGACGUCAUAUGGUCCGAUGAGAUUCAGCCAGUCAGAGAGUAACACUUCUGAGGUGGCAGUUGCCAGCCUAUAUAAGGGAUGGGUUUUUGGGAGUUUGGAGUCUCCGCUCUGUAAGCUUAUGCUCUCUCUCUCAAGACGCAUUAGAGCUUUACUGCAGAAGGAUCCUGAAGAGUGUUCCUGUGUCGUUUUUGCUGGCGAGAAGGUUAGCGCGGGACAUCUGGUGCCGAAACCCGGGAAAUUGACCUCAUCAUCGUCAGCACCAUCGGAGACCCCUUGGCUGCAAGGAGGAUUCAGAACUGCAGGGAGGUACGAUUCGGAGAGCUGUGUGAAAGAUCUGACUGGAAAGAAGAAAGUACCUAAUUGAUCUGAGACAUAAGAGCCUUAAUCCAGUAGCUGAUGGAAGCAGAAGAAGACAACCACAGCUAAACACUGAGCUAAACUCUGGAAACCAGUUGAAGAGUAGGAGUGAUGAGCAAAGUGGUCAAGACCAGACUGGAGAAACACACAGAAACAGCUGACCUGAACAAGAGGGAGCUCAUGGACCCCACACUGAUAGCUGGGAAAUCAGCAUAGGACUGUC
rnacentral:lncRNA from 1 species